CAGCUAGGGAAGGACAGGAGCAGGGCUGAAGAGUGCCUAUGUCAGGGCCUGAUGUACCUCGAGGACCCUGAGGCCACGCUGUAAGAGGUGGCCCUCAGGUUCAUUGGGGUGGCCACGCAGCACCUGAGGGACCAAAGCAUACCUAUGUGGAUGAGAUCUGCAGCACCCUUCAGCCCUUGCAGACAGACAGCAAUGAAAUUGUCUUUUGCCUGGCAACUCAGACCAUCUUGAUCCUGAAGGCUUUAAAUCUACAGCAAAAACCAAGAUUCAAUCUAUGUACACUGCUCUUCUGGCAUCACUGAGCCAGCUGGAGGAUGGUUGUGAUUUAAUAAAUCUGAAACAAUAGGUCCAAACCCGUGGUGUCCUUCAGAUGCGCAGUAUCCUGAGCAGACUGCAUCCUGCUUGGCCUGUACCACU